rnacentral:rRNA from 1 species
GUCCUUUAGAAUUUAAUUUAAGGUCUAACCUGCCCACUGAUUUAUUUUGAAUGGCCGCAGUAAUUUGACUGUGCAAAGGUAGCAUAAUCAUUAGUUUUUUAAUUAAAAGCUUGUAUGAAGGGUUGGACGAGGUAAAAUCUGUCUCUGGAUAAUUUAAUUUAGAAUUUAACUUUUAAGUUAAAAGGCUUAAAUAUAAUUAAAAGACGAGAAGACCCUAUAGAUCUUUAUAAUUUAUUUAUUAGAUUUAAUUAGGAAUUUUUAAAAUUUUAUUAAUAUAAUUAUUUUAUUGGGGUAAUAUAAAGAUUAAAUAAAUUCUUUAUUUUUAUUUACAUUAAUUUAUGUUUUUAUGAUCCAAUUUUAUUGAUUAUAAGAUUAAGUUACCUUAGGGAUAACAGCGUAAUUUUUUUAAAGAGUUCUUAUCGAUAAAAAAGUUUGCGACCUCGAUGUUGGAUUAAAGAUUAUUUCAGGUGCAGAAGUUUGAAAAUUUUGGUCUGUUCGACCAUUAAAUCUUUACAUGAUCUGAGUUCAGACCGGCGUAAGCCAGGUCGGUUUCUAUCUUUAAUAAAUUAAAAUAUUUUAGUACGAAAGGACCAAUUAUUUAAUAAAAAAUUAUUUUAAUUUUUGAUUAUUAUUAA